rnacentral:tRNA from 1 species
GCGGGUAUAGCUUAGUGGUAGAGUAGCAGCCUUCCAAGCUGCCUGGGUGGGUUCGAUUCCCAUUACCCGCUC